rnacentral:tRNA from 1 species
GCUUGGCUAGCUCAGUCGGUAAAGCAUGUGACUCUAGAUCUCAAGAUCGUGAGUUUAAUCCCCAUGUUGGGUG